GAAACGACUGCUAAGACUGGAUAGGAAGAUAAAAGGCAUCUUUUAUCUUUUAAAAGACCUAGUAAUAGGUAUGCUUUAGGAGGGGCUUGCGCCAUAUUAGUUAGUUGGUAGGGUAAUGGCCUACCAAGACGAUGAUGUGUAGCUGGACUGAGAGGUUGAACAGCCACAUUGGGACUGAGACACGGCCCAAACUCCUACGGGAGGCAGCAGUAGGGAAUUUUCGGCAAUGGAGGAAACUCUGACCGAGCAACGCCGCGUGAAUGACGAAGUACUUCGGUAUGUAAAGUUCUUUUAUCAAGGAAGAAAAGCAAAUGGCGAACCAUUUGUUUGCCGGUACUUGAUGAAUAAGCCCCGGCUAAUUAUGUGCCAGCAGCCGCGGUAAGACAUAAGGGGCAAGUGUUAUCCGGAAUUAUUGGGCGUAAAGGGUGCGUAGGCGGUCUAGUAAGUCAGUGGUGUAAUGGCAACGCUUAACGUUGUCCGGCUAUUGAAACUGCUAAACUUGAGUUAGAUAGAGGCGAGUGGAAUUCCAUGUGUAGCGGUAAAAUGCGUAAAUAUAUGGAGGAACACCAGAGGCGUAGGCGGCUCGCUGGGUCUUAACUGACGCUGAGGCACGAAAGCGUGGGGAGCAAACAGGAUUAGAUACCCUGGUAGUCCACGCCGUAAACGAUGAGUACUAAGUGUCGGGUUAAGCCGGUACUGAAGUUAACACAUUAAGUACUCCGCCUGAGUAGUACGUACGCAAGUAUGAAACUUAAAGGAAUUGACGGGACUCCGCACAAGCGGUGGAUCAUGUUGUUUAAUUCGAAGAUACCCGAAAAACCUUACCAGGUCUUGACAUGUUUUUGCAAAAUGAUAGUAAUAUCGUGGAGGUUACCAGAAACACAGGUGGUGCAUGGUUGUCGUCAGCUCGUGUCGUGAGAUGUUAGGUUAAGUCCUAAAACGAGCGAAACCCUUAUCGUUAGUUGCCAGCACGUUAUGGUGGGGACUUUAACGAGACUGCCAAUGAUAAAUUGGAGGAAGGUGAGGAUCACGUCAAAUCAGCAUGCCCCUUAUGACCUGGGCUACAAACGUGAUACAAUGGCUGUUACAAAGGGUAGCUGAAACGCAAGUUCUUGGCCAAUCCCCAAAAACAGUCCCAGUCCGGAUUGAAGUCUGCAACUCGACUUCAUGAAGUUGGAAUCGCUAGUAAUCGCGAAUCAGCAUGUCGCGGUGAAUACGUUCACGGGGUUUGUACACACCGCCCGUCAAA
rnacentral:rRNA from 5 species